rnacentral:rRNA from 1 species
AACGCGAAGAACCUUACCAACCCUUGACACCCAGAGAAUCUGUGAGAGAUCGUAGAGUGCCUUUGGGAACUCUGAGACAGGUGCUGCAUGGCUGUCGUCAGCUCGUGUCGUGAGAUGUUGGGUUAAGUCCCGUAACGAGCGCAACCCUUUUCCUUAGUUGCCCACGGGUGAUGCCGGGAACUCUAGGGAGACUGCCGGUGAUAAACCGGAGGAAGGUGGGGAAGACGUCAAGUCAUCAUGGCCCUUAUGGGUAGUCUACACACACGUUACACAAGGGGGUACAGAGGGCAGCCAACUGGGGAGAGCCAGCUUCCCCAAAAACCGGUCCCAGUCCGGAUUGGAGUCUGCAACUCGACUCCAUGAAUGGGAAUCGCUAGUAAUCGCGAUCAGCA